ACACCGUGCCCGGCCAAAUUUUAUUUCUUUAUUAUAUAUGUCUAUUAUAUAGACAUAUGAAUAUUAUAAAGACUAUAUAUAUAUGUAUGUAUAUACAUAUACAUAACUUAUCUCUUACCAUAUACAAAAAUUAACCCUGGAUGGAUCAAAUACUUAAAUGUAAGAUCUGAAGCUAUAAAAAUCCUAGAAGGAAACCUAGGAAAAUAUCUUUUGUAUAUUGGCCUAACCAAAGAAUUUAUGAUUAAGUCAUCCAAAGGAAACACAACAAAAACAAAAAUAAACAAAUAGGACUUAUUUAAAUUAUAAAGCUUUUACACAACAAAAGAAAUACUCAACACAGUAAACAGACAACCUACAGAACAGGAGAAAAUAUUUGCAAAUACAUCCAACAAAGGGCUAAUAUCCAGAAUCUACAAAGAACUAAAAAGCUCCGCAAGGAAAAAACAAACAAAGAAAUAACCCUAUUUUAAAGUGGGCAAAGAACAUGUACAGACAUUUUUCAAUAGCAGUACUAUAAAAGCAACAAAUAUAGGCUUCAACAAAAAAAUAAAAAAAAUACGUGUAUUUCAGUUUAACACAAAUUUGCUUUGAGAGGAUAAAAUAGAAAGCAAGUAUCUGGUUCUUUUCAUAACUUUUAUUAUGCAAACGUAACAUUUUUCAGAAACAGAAAAAUACUAGUUUACAUUAAAGUUGUCAUUUAAAAUAUUUAGAAACUCACAUGAACAUCUGGAAGGCCAUAGACAUGGUUGGACAACCUUAAAUAGCAUUCAAAUUAUAUUAAAUAUAAAAAAGUAAGUAAAAU
rnacentral:lncRNA from 1 species